GGCCUCGUGGCCUAAUGGCUAGGGCGCUAGAUUUCGGUUACUGAUUCUGAUUCUCUAGAGAUUGUCGGUUCGAGUCCGGCCGAGGUCG
rnacentral:tRNA from 2 species